AUACGGAGGGUGCAAGCGUUACUCGGAAUCACUGGGCGUAAAGCGCGCGCAGGCGGCUUGAUAAGUUGGAUGUGAAAGCCUACGGCUCAACCGUAGAACUGCAUCCAAAACUGUCAGUCUAGAGUGUGGGAGAGGAAGAUGGAAUUAGUUGUGUAGGGGUAAAAUCCGUAGAGAUAACUAGGAAUACCAAAAGCGGAGGCAAUCUUCUGGAACACUACUGACGCUGAGGCGCGAAAGCGUGGGGAGCAAACAGGAUUAGAAACCCCGGUAGUCC
rnacentral:rRNA from 1 species